rnacentral:rRNA from 1 species
GAUGAACGCUGGCGGCGUGCUUAACACAUGCAAGUCGAGCGGGCAAUUUAUCUAGCACUGAUUACUUCAAAUGGAAAUCAUAAGUGUAAUCAUGAAUUUCUACCUUUAAUAAAGAAAAAAGAAAUUCAUGUACGCAAAUAGUGAUAACACAUUUUAGUGGAGUGAUGAGUGCUGGAUAAAUUGCUAGCGGCGGACGGGUGCGUAACACGUGGGUAACCUGCCCCUAUCACUGGGAUAACACACUGAAAAGUGUGCUAAUACCAGAUAAUAUAAGCUUUUGGCAUCAUUAGCUUAUCAAAGAAUUUCGGAUAGGGAUGGGCCCGCGUCUGAUUAGCUAGUUGGUGAGGUAACGGCUCACCAAGGCAACGAUCAGUAGCCGACCUGAGAGGGUGAUCGGCCACACUGGAACUGAGACACGGUCCAGACUCCUACGGGAGGCAGCAGUGGGGAAUAUUGCA